UACGAAGGGGGCUAGCUUUGCUCGGAAUCACUGGGCGUAAAGGGUGCGUAGGCGGGUCUUUAAGUCAGGGGUGAAAUCCUGGAGCUCAACUCCAGAACUGCCUUUGAUACUGAAGAUCUUGAGUUCGGGAGAGGUGAGUGGAACUGCGAGUGUAGAGGUGAAAUUCGUAGAUAUUCGCAAGAACACCAGUGGCGAAGGCGGCUCACUGGCCCGAUACUGACGCUGAGGCACGAAAGCGUGGGGAGCAAACAGG
rnacentral:rRNA from 1 species